rnacentral:rRNA from 1 species
AUGAACGCUAGCUACAGGCUUAACACAUGCAAGUCGAGGGGCAGCAUGAUUGAAGCUUGCUUCAAUCGAUGGCGACCGGCGCACGGGUGAGUAACACGUAUCCAACCUGCCGAUAACUCGGGGAUAGCCUUUCGAAAGAAAGAUUAAUACCCGAUAGCAUAGUAUUUCCGCAUGGUUUCACUAUUAAAGAACUUCGGUUAUCGAUGGGGAUGCGUUCCAUUAGAUAGUUGGCGGGGUAACGGCCCACCAAGUCAACGAUGGAUAGGGGUUCUGAGAGGAAGGUCCCCCACAUUGGAACUGAGACACGGUCCAAACUCCUACGGGAGGCAGCAGUGAGGAAUAUUGGUCAAUGGACGAGAGUCUGAACCAGCCAAGUAGCGUGAAGGAUGACUGCCCUAUGGGUUGUAAACUUCUUUUAUACGGGAAUAAAGUGGAGUAUGCAUACUCCUUUGUAUGUACCGUAUGAAUAAGGAUCGGCUAACUCCGUGCCAGCAGCCGCGGUAAUACGGAGGAUCCGAGCGUUAUCCGGAUUUAUUGGGUUUAAAGGGAGCGUAGGCGGGUGCUUAAGUCAGUUGUGAAAGUUUGCGGCUCAACCGUAAAAUUGCAGUUGAUACUGGGUACCUUGAGUGCAGCAUAGGUAGGCGGAAUUCGUGGUGUAGCGGUGAAAUGCUUAGAUAUCACGAAGAACUCCUAUUGCGAAGGCAGCUUACUGGACUGUAACUGACGCUGAUGCUCGAAAGUGUGGGUAUCAAACAGGAUUAGAUACCCUGGUAGUCCACACAGUAAACGAUGAAUACUCGCUGUUGGCGAUACACAGUCAGCGGCCAAGCGAAAGCAUUAAGUAUUCCACCUGGGGAGUACGCCGGCAACGGUGAAACUCAAAGGAAUUGACGGGGGCCCGCACAAGCGGAGGAACAUGUGGUUUAAUUCGAUGAUACGCGAGGAACCUUACCCGGGCUUAAAUUGCAGCGGAAUGUAGUGGAAACAUUACAGCCUUCGGGCCGCUGUGAAGGUGCUGCAUGGUUGUCGUCAGCUCGUGCCGUGAGGUGUCGGCUUAAGUGCCAUAACGAGCGCAACCCUUAUCUAUAGUUACUAUCAGGUCAUGCUGAGGACUCUAUGGAGACUGCCGUCGUAAGAUGUGAGGAAGGUGGGGAUGACGUCAAAUCAGCACGGCCCUUACGUCCGGGGCUACACACGUGUUACAAUGGGGGGUACAGAAGGCAGCUACCUGGCGACAGGAUGCUAAUCCCAAAAACCUCUCUCAGUUCGGAUUGGAGUCUGCAACCCGACUCCAUGAAGCUGGAUUCGCUAGUAAUCGCGCAUCAGCCACGGCGCGGUGAAUACGUUCCCGGGCCUUGUACACACCGCCCGUCACACCAUGAGAGUCGGGAACACCCGAAGUCCGUAGCCUAACCGCAAGGGGGGCGCGGCCGAGGGUGGGUUCGAUAAUUGGGGUG